rnacentral:lncRNA from 1 species
AUGAUAGGGUUUCAGACUGAGAAACUGAGCCAAGAAAAGGCCAUUGCAGAUGCAGACGAGCUAAAGGUGUAUUGUGAGAGAGAACCAAAAUAUUGUGUGCUGGCUCAGGCUAACACUGAAUUAGCAGCAGCUACAGGAAAACUAGAAGUCAGCAGGAAAAAGUUUCUUGAAGCUAUAUGGCUGAGAGAUGCAGUUGCUCUGGUGGUUAGUGCCUGGUUUCCUACCUGUGAAAUGUUAGAGGAUGGUGAGAAGCUGAGUUCCUUAGAAAAGUUCAGUAGAUGGAAUGAAGUGUGCAGACUGGUGAGUACAGGAUGCCUUCCUGUCUUUGCUCUCUGGGCUCAUCCUUUUUGUCCACCUAAACAUGUACAACAUGGUCAACAGUGAAUAAAUUUCUCUGCAGAUUUUCAUCCCUGUUAAAUGAUCCUGAACUGCACUGUUGAAUGUUACAUUUAAAAUCAGCUCAGCUUCCUCAGCUGGAAACUUGCAUUAAUC